rnacentral:snRNA from 1 species
ACGACUUAAAUACGCGACG